rnacentral:misc_RNA from 1 species
UACGUAGGUGGCAAGCGUUGUCCGGAAUUAUUGGGCGUAAAGCGCGUGCAGGUGGUUCCUUAAGUCUGAUGUGAAAGCCCCCGGCUCAACCGUGGAGGGUCAUCGGAAACUGGGGAACUUGAAUGCAGAAGAGGAAAGUGGAAUUCCACGUGUAGCGGUGAAAUGCGUAGAGAUGUGGAGGAACACCAGUGGCGAAGGCGACUUUCUGGUCUGUAGCUGACACUGAGGCGCGAAAGCGUGGGGAGCGAACAGG